rnacentral:lncRNA from 1 species
GGGAGUUUGGGGAGGGAUAACAUGGGGAGAAAUGCCAGAUAUAGGUAAUGGGGGAGUGGAGGCAGCAAACCACCUUGUCGUGUAUGUACCUAUGCAACAAUCCUGCAUGAUCUGCACAUGUACCCCAGAACGUAAAGUACAAUAAAAAAAAUGUAUCUAUUGGGAUUCAUCAUCAAAGCAUAUGAACAUUUUGACACAUAUGACUAAUUAAAAAUAUUUCUUAUUAGCAUUAUAGUAAAAGAAAAUACACUUAAAAAAAAAGAUGUUCUGUUCUUUGUGGGAAAGUCCUAAUUCAUCACAUGCUAUCUCAAUUCAAGACCUUUCAGUUCCACAUCUUCUUUAAGUGUUCCCAAUACAUCAUUUUUUUUAAAUAUGAGAAUUUUUAAAUUUAGUCUCAUGACACUUUUCCUUUGAAUCUCUUGGCUUCAGACAUUUAGGAAUUUCCAAACAGAAAUUGCUGAUAAAAUCCACCACAGAUGUGAAGAGACUGUAAAAUUUCUGAACAAGAAAUACCUUUUCCAUGAGCUUUUGUUGUGUCGUAUACUGAAUACUCCAGGCCACAAAGGCUAGCUUUAUUUUGCUUUCUGUUUUAAAUCCAGAAUGGGGAAAGAAUAUGUCAGUGCCUGCCAUAGCCACGAUAAAAUUAAUAAUUUUUUUCAGCUCUCCAAGACAGUUACAAAGCAAGUUGAAGGUGAAGAAUUGUGGUGACAAUGACAAAUUGGCUGGAACAGACUUCCUUUGUUUUUGAUGACCUGAAAACUUUGGAGAACUGAUCAGGUAUUUUAUAGACUGUCUCUCAAUUUGUUAUUGUCUGAUUAUUGAAUUUAUCAUUUUGUGGAGGGGGACUACAGAGGUGAAAUAAUAUCUUCAUCACAUUAUGUCAAGGGCUCACAUUGUCAACAUGACUUAUUUCUGUUGAUGUAAAUCUUGAUCACCUGGUUGAGGUAGUAGCGGUUGUCAGGUUUAUACAUUGUGAAGUUACUCUCUUUGCCCUGCCUUCCAUAUUGUACCCUUUGGAGGAAAGUCACUUAUUCAUAGCUGACAGUUAAGAGAUGAAGUGUUCAGUCUUUUUUAGGGUAAAUAAUCUAUGCAAGUUAUUUUAUAUUCUUCUGUACAAAACUUUUUUUCUAGUCUCACUAUUCAUUUAGCCACUGGUUCAUCCUUUUCUAUUAGUAUGAAGUCACAGAUAUUUAUUAUAUAUUGAAUUAUAAUCCCAAAUUCCAUCAUUUAUUCUGUUGCUCAAAUUAUUCCAACUUUGGACAUUGGGAGCUGUUUAGUUGUCUUCUGUAGCCUUUGACAUUCCAUCACUAUGGAUUUUUAAGGAGCAAUUUCAUAUUUGCUGCCACGGCAAGGUGUUCUACACUCAUCUUUCUUUCUUUUUUUCUUUUUUAGAUUUGGGUUUAGCAGCGUGCUUGGUUAAAAGAAAGAAAGCAAGGAAGGAGGGAAGAAGGAAGGGAAACCUACACUCAUCUUUCAUAUUCCCUGUUUCAGUUCUGGAAACAACUAUUUAUCUAAAGGGCUGUGAUUCUAUCUAAUGGAGAAUUAUAUUAGAAAAUAAGAUCUGGUAUAAAAAAAUGACAGCUUUCAAACUAAUUAAAAAUAAUAUAAAGCAAA